rnacentral:siRNA from 1 species
AACAAACGCCUGAACUCCAAGUU